rnacentral:lncRNA from 1 species
UGUGCAAAGACAUGGCAAGAUCUUCAGAGAUUGUAUGUUAAGGCUUUGGGAGAGUAUUAAGGCUUCAGAAGUGGUCUGAUGAGUGUGCAAAGAUAGGGUUUAUGUUCAGGAGGGACUUAGACACCAUUUAGAGAAGAUUUGGGUCAGACAGUAACUCCAAAGUUACCACAGUAACUUUAGAGAGUUACCACAGUAAGAUUGGAGAAGUUUGGGCAAGUUGGUGUAAAAGUGAAUAGUGAAUCACUAGUCACUAUUCAGGUUGACUAUUCACUAUUUGGGUCACUAUUCAGGACACUAUUCAGGAUGUGAAGAGUGCAUAGUAUAUGGAUAAGGCACCAAGGUUUGAAUCUAGUCAAAGGGAAUCAAGAAGAUGCUUUGUGGAGGCAAACAACCAAUGGGAGCUUCCUUGUGUGUGAUUGGCUAGUUCUGGUCUUGGACAGGCUGUCUCUUGCUGUAAAGAGAAGGGAGCCACGACCAUGAACCUGGACAGAUGCCAAUCACAAGCAAGGAGCCAGCUUGCCUUGGUUUGAAUUAAAGUGAGCCAGCUUAGCUUAUCCAAUCAGCACACAUCACUCAGAUUACAACAAGACCAACUCAUCCUCACCAUCCAUUCCUCUUAAGUUAUUUCUAUCCAUUAGAUAUAGGUUUAUGAGUUUGCAAGAGUGUAAAACCUAUAUAAAGAGCCUCAUGGGCGUGUGUAACUCUCUUAAGAGAGUAUGGGGGUUUUCCCCAUCUCCUUCAUAAAUAUAAAUGUGUGUUCUUGAUCAGAUUCCCUUAAUCUACCCCUUUCUUAGUCUCUAAUCUCUUAAUCUCUCUAAGUCUCUUUGUUUCUGAUUCAAGUUCAUACUAGUUUCAUCAGACCUCUUAUUCAACUAGUUCAAGACCUUAUUCUUUGCCUCUAAUGGCUUCUCAUACACAUACACAGCCAGAG